AUAACAGGAGCGACCAUCUUUGUUGGAUAUCCACCUCUACACAGCGAGUUCAAGUGUGAGACUCGAGACUUGAUCUCAGCUGUGUGCUAUUGGGAUAAAGGACGAUACACUAACCUGGGCGGCAGGAGAAGAACCCGCUACUCUGUAAACAACAGGGACUGUUCUGAGAGGAAUAUGUGUGCGCUGUCUCAGUGGGACGGUAACUGGACUCUGGUGGCUGCUAAUCCUCUCGGUCAGUACAAUCUGACGGACUCGGCUGAGCUCAGUCACAGAGUGCACCCAGUAGCACCACUUAACCUGAGUCAUGUUGCCCACGCCUGGAAUGCCACUCUGUUCUGGGAGUGGACACACAGUAGCUAUUCCU